UCCCGUGUGCCUCAGUUGGUAGAGCAUGGCACUUACAAUGCCAGGGUUGUGGGUUUGAUUCCCACGGGGAA
rnacentral:tRNA from 1 species